ACACACACAUCAGCGCGCGCGCACACAUAUCUGCACAUGAGCACACACACAACUACACACACACACACACACACACUCGCGAGCGUGCGCGCCCUCUUCUUCUUAAAGGAGACGGCUUGUAAAGGGGAACAGCUACUGUACCGCGCACUGGAAGUAGCCAGACCUCCAGAAAGGCCCUGGAUUGGGAUGAGGUUCCUUAACAUACCGCCCACCCCUCAGCUGCGAGACGGGAACCCGGGAACCUGGGCGGUUCCAUCCUUUCGUCUCGCCCACCCCCUCGCGAGCAUCUAGAGACAAGUGCGCCCCUCCCCGCCCGGAGACUGGGUGGGGCUCAGGCUGCGGACCCCGGCUUGGGCUGGGGAGUGGCCCAGGCCGGAUCCCGGAGGGCGGCCCGCCUCGCCAAUCAAGCGUCCCUGGAAGCCAGCAGAGGGGAAGAGGAGCCCACGGGAAAGCGGUGCAGGCAAGGUUGAGGAUAAAGGCUGCUCCAAGUGUGACAGCUUCCUCGGUGAGAUGGAAGACAGAAUUGACAAGGCAAAUUUCAUGGACCAGGUAUCUGUGCUAGUCCGAUAAGCCUGAUGAAACAGUUCCCCAUAUGGACUCAUCUGGAUACCUGUGGAAAUAUAAUCACAGUCAGAGAGCAAUCCUAGAGAUGGACACCCAUAUUAAUGUGAAAGGAGGAGAAUUCACAAGAGGCAUGGGCAGAAACCAGGUGAAUCUUUAAGUUUGGCUACUUCAUUUCAAAGAAAAGAGGAAGGGCAUGUAAUGGUCAGUAAGGAAGAAUGGAAAUAACUGGGCUGUCUUAUAGCUCACCCCUCUUACAGUCUAUUAUGCAAAUCUUAGACCCAUUUGAAGAUGACAAUAAAAGAGCUGAGGCUUUUGUUAAUUUGUUUGCUUUGCUUUGCUUUGUUUUUUUUGUA